CGCGGCUCCAGGUGGCGGGAGGCGGCGGUUGGCGGGAAGGGCCGCGCGGGCCCGGGGGCGGCGCCUCAGCCUCCCUCUUUGUGCUCCUUUCCCCUGCUGCCCUUCCAGAUGCGCUCUUUCCAGAAAGGCAGCACACGCAUGUCUCUGCCGUGGCCCCAGAUCCUCCCCGCGCCGCCGUUUUGAGCGUUCACACUCAUUACCCAGGUCCGUCUGGGAGACCCGCCGGGCUCCCGCCCUCCCGGCCCGCAGCCUCCUGGCCAAAAUCCUCCCGGGACACCCCACCUGGACUGCUGCGAACGGGCCUCCACCCGCCUCCCCGGACCCGCAGCGCCCCCCGCUCCCUCAGGGUUCUGGGGUGAAGGGGUCUGAAUAGCACCAGGGGAGGCGGCAGGGCGGGCCUGUCCUACCUGCGCCCGAGCACUGCUGAGACGACAUCCCUUCCAGCGCCGCCACGUAGUCCAGCCCCAGCCAGCCGCGGUCCUGGAAGCACCGCAGGCAGACGACCUGCUCCUCACUGGGCUCAGGCAGGGUCACCCGCCCAGUGCCGCUAGCUGCAAAUUGCUUUACAUACAGUGACCCAAAGAGCAAGUCAUUUCAGGGCCCCACCACUCUGAUUGGAAGUCAUAAGCUUGACAACUGAUUGGCCUCUGUCACCCAAGCGGGUGUGGGGACACUAGGCCCGCAGGUGCCACUGGAAGAGGCGUUCAGAAGCACUGCGGUGCUCCAGCUCCUGGAUGCAGAUAUCUCCCCACAAACCUAAACAAUUUCGAGAGGGACUUGUGUUCUGCAACCAGUCACAGAAUAUCAGGUGAGCUGGGCGUGUCUUCACUGACCCACCCGCCCAGGGAUGCUGCACUCCUCUCCACCCUGCUCAGAAUCACUAGAAUGACCGUUCUGUGGCUACAGCCCUAAAAGAGCUACUAAAAAGACCAGAAGUAGUAUGAGAACUUAUGAAUACGAAUAUAAAUAAAGGACAUCUGGAGAACAUGCA
rnacentral:lncRNA from 1 species